GGUGAGGUUUCCCAGGAACACAUUUCGAGGCUGCACGCGCUUGAUGAUGGCCGCUAGUCCCUCUCAGUCCGAGCCGCUGGCUUCGCAGGAACUCAAUGGCGACUUCAAGAAGCCAGGCCUGCCCUUGCCCCCGGCGGUGCGGGGCAAAGCCCCGGCCACCAAUCCUUCAAACCCUGAGGAGGUAAAGAAGGAAAGGCCCACGGCACUGCCGGACUCCGAUUCCGCGGAGCCUGAAGUCCCGCCAGCCCUGCUGGACGGCGGGGAGACUAGGGGUCCAGCGGAGGAGCAGCCGCGGUCCCCCACAGCGGCUCCUUCUCCUGGCGGCCCGGCCCGGGCUCCCCCUUACCGAGAGCCUCCGUGGGGCGGCCCCGCCACGGACCCCUACAGCCUAGAGACACUGAAGGGCGGCACCAUCCUUGGCACCCGGAGUUUGAAAGGGAUGAGUUGCUGUCUUUUCGGGAGGCUCGCUAGCUGCGACGUGUGCCUGGAGCAUCCUUCGGUGUCUCGCUACCACGCUGUGCUGCAGCACAGGGUGUCCGAUCCCGAGGCAGAAUGCGACGGCCAUGGGCCUGGCUUCUACCUCUACGAUUUGGGAAGCACCCACGGCACUUUUCUUAACAAAACCCGCAUCCCACCCCGCACCUAUUGUCGGGUCCACGUCGGGCAUGUUCUUCGCUUUGGAGGCAGCACCCGGCUCUUUGUUUUUCAGGGACCAGAGGAAGACCGAGAGGCAGAAUCUGAGUUGACAGUAACGCAAUUGAAGGAAUUGCGCAAGCAGCAACAAAUGAUGUUGGAGAAGAAGAUGCUGGGAGAAGACUCAGAUGAAGAAGAGGAAACGGAUACAGCUGAAAGAAAGAGAAAUGCUAGUAGUCAAGAUGAUGAAAUGGGCUGCACCUGGGGAAUGGGAGAAGAUGCUGUAGAGGAUGAGGCUGAAGAGAACCCUAUUGUCUUAGAGUUUCAGCAGGAAAGAGAGGCCUUUUAUAUAAAGGAUCCAAAAAAGGCUCUCCAAGGUUUUUUUGACCGAGAAGGAGAAGAAUUAGAAUAUGAAUUUGAUGAACAGGGUCAUAGCACUUGGCUUUGCAGGGUGAGAUUACCUGUGGAUGAUUCAACUGGAAAACAGCUAGUGGCUGAGGCUAUUCACUCAGGAAAGAAAAAAGAGGCAAUGAUCCAGUGCUCACUGGAAGCUUGUCGAAUCCUUGACACUUUGGGAUUGCUGCGGCAGGAGGCAGUAUCUCGGAAAAGGAAAGCCAAGAACUGGGAAGAUGAAGACUUUUAUGAUAGUGAUGAUGACACGUUUCUUGAUCGGACUGGCCUGGUUGAAAAGAAGCGUCUGAACCGAAUGAAGAAGGCUGGGAAGAUUGAUGAGAAGCCAGAGACCUUCGAAUCAUUGGUUGCAAAGUUAAAUGAUGCUGAAAAGGAACUCUCUGAAAUUUCUGAGAGACUGAAAGCCUCCGGCAAAGCUCUAUCAGAGUCACCAUCUCAGGACUCUUUAGAUGCGUUCAUGUCAGAAAUGAAAUCAGGGAAUGCAUUAGAUGGUGUGUCCCGGAAGAAACUUCACCUGAGAACUUUUGAACUGAGAAAAGAACAGCAGAGACUUAAAGGGUUGAUAAAAAUUGUAAAGCCAGCAGAGAUUCCAGAACUAAAAAAAACUGAAAGUCAGGCUACAGAUGGAGAAAACAAAGCUAAAAAGCUUACACUGCCUCUCUUUGGUGCCAUGAAAGGAGGAAGCAAAUUCAAAUUAAAAACUGGAACAAUAGGGAAGUUACCCCCCAAGCGUCCAGAACUCCCUCCAACUCUAAUGAGAAUGAAGGAUGAGCCUGAAGUAGAAGAGGAGGAGGAGGAGGAGGAGGAGGAAGAGCAAGAGGAGAAAGAAAAGGAGGAGCAUGAAAAGAAGAAAAUGGAGGCAGGAAGCAGUAGGCUGCAGCAGGAGAUAGAGCCAGAAGGAGCAGUGCAGGAAACAGGUCCUCCCACAGAUUUCACAUAUUCUAAAGAAACAAAAAAUCAUGAAAACAUGUCUCAACUCGGCCAAGUGGAACAGAAUAAAGGUUACCAAGAGAUGAGUGAGACAGCUGCAUCGUGUGAGGAACCCUCAGCAUCAAAGAAUGAAUAUGAGAAAAGCAGAGAUGAAUUGAAGAAAAAGAAAGCUCCUGGCCGAGGCAAACUUCCACUGACACUUUCCUCCAACUAUCCAGAAGAUGAUCCAGAUUACUGUGUGUGGGUCCCACCUGAAGGCCAAAGUGGAGAUGGCAGGACCCAUCUUAAUGAUAAGUAUGGCUAUUGAUUGCUUCCGAAUCCUAAAGGAAGACCUUGUGGACCAUGUGACAUGGGAUAUUUAGGAUAAUAUAUCAAGUUGAAUGUCCAGAGAAGGAGUUCAGAUGAUCAUUUGUAAAAUCUGACCAACAGAGAAGAACUUGUUGAUGAUGUAAGAAGUGACAGGAAUUCGGGGGCAGAGUGUCUGUGCCACCUUGGAUCGAAACCACGGACUAAGGUCUGAGCCAGAUCAGUGGUCUUCAAAGAUGAAACUCCUGAUUCAAACAGAAUUGUAUGUGGAACCCUAACACUUGAACAGGUAAAAAAUAUGCCUGCUCUGGUUGAAUUGAGGUGGGGAUGGAUGGGGAUUGGAUGUACACACACAUACCUGCAUGCAUACAAUCCUCUCCUCCUAACUCUACCCUCACAGUGACCUUGAGGAACCCUAGGGACUCCACAGAGCAUCGUCUGCUUUAGGAAGGCAGAUAUCUACGUGUUCUGGGAAGGGUAGGUACAGUCCUUUGUCUUGAGAGCAUGAAAGCAAGUAGGACUCCAUUGGCCAAAAUAAAAUAUAAAUGUGUAACUUGCACAAUUAAUAUCAGCGGUCAGUGGACUUGUUUCAAAAGACCUGCACGUGAGUGUUAGCUUCUCUUUAGUAAAUAGGAGACUUUGGGGACAUGACUUUUCCCUGAGCCUGAAUUCUGUCAUGUGUGAAGCAGGGACAGUAAUGCUUUUUGCUCUUUGGACCUCGGAUUUGUUCUAGGAUCAAAUGAGACCAUGUAGAUGGAUGUGCUUUACAGGGAUUUGUAGAUAUUAGUAGUUGUUAUUCAUUACAAAAAGGAGACAUAUCCUGACAUCUGGGCCGACUUACCUGUGAGAGGAGACUGGAUUAUAUCAGUGAUUCUCCACUGUAGCUGCAUAUUAGAAUUACCUAGGGAAAUUUUUGAAGUUUUUGAUUCCAAUACUUAGAUCCCAUGUCAGAUCAAUUUAAUCAGAAUCUCUGAGUUGAUCCCUUUUAAAAGCACUCCAGGUGAUUUUAAUGUGCAGCCCAUAAUGGACAACCUCUAGAGCAGGGUCAGCAAACCAUUUUUAUUAAUGGCCAGGUAUUUGAGGCUUUGCAAGCCAUAUAAUCUGUCGCAACUACUCAGCUCUGCCAUUGGAGUGCAAAUGGUAUAGGCAGUAUACAAGUGAAUGAGCGUGACUGUGUUCCAAUAAAUAUUUACUUAUAAAAACAGGUGGCAGGGGCUUCCCUGGUGGCACAGUGGUUGAGAAUCCGCCUGCCAAUGCAGGGGACACGGGUUCGAGCCCUGGUCUGGGAGGAUCCCACAUGCCACGGAGCAACUGGGCCCAUGAGCCACAACUACUGAGCCUGCGUGUCUGGAGCCUGUGCUCCGCAACAAGAGAGGCCGUGACAGUGAGAGGCCCACGCACAGCGAUGAAGAGUGGCCCCCGCUUGCCACAACUAGAGAAAGCCCUCGCACAGAAACAAAGACCCAACACAGCCAUAAAUAAAUAAAUAAAUAAAUUUUAAAAACCAAACCAAACCAAACCAAACCAAACAAAACAAAAACAGGUGGCAGGACUUCCCUGGUGGUCCAGUGGCUAAGACUCCAUGCUCCCAAUGCAGGGGGCCCGGGUUCCAUCCCUGGUCAGGGAACUAGAUCCCACAUGCCGCAACUAAAAGUCCCUCACGCCACAACUAAGACCCAGCACAGUCAAAUAAGUAAAUAUUUUAAAAACAAAAACAGGUGGCAGGCCAGGUUUGGCCCACUGUCAGCUCUAGGCUAAUUCAUCUUUGGGGUCUCAUCUGACUCAAGAUGUUCAUUACAGUGUCUUUAGGAUAUUUGAAAAGUUUCUAUUCAGAAGGCUAAUUAGCCCCUCCUGAACUGUAUGGGUUGCAGUUUUUUGGUUACCAGGAAUCAAAGUGAUCUAGUCUCCUUUUCACAGAAACGAAAGCAAGGUUAUUAGUCAUUACAAAAAAUAUUGUUACAGCAAGAAUGCAACAGGUUAUCUAUAAGCAGGGUGUCCCUGGUCUCUCCUGGCCUCCCCAGGAAUUCGGUAUCAUAUCUGCCUCUGUAUUUAAAGAGCAACGGGAAGCCACUGGAAUGUUAGUGAUAGUGAAAUGGUCAGAUUUGGGUCUUUAAAAGAACACUUAAGCUACAGGUUGGAGGAAGGAUGGAAGAGGGCAAGAGGAUGCAGGAAGACCAGUCAGAAGUCUGCUGCAGAGAUCCAGGUGAAAGAUGAUGGCAGCUUGAACUAAGUGGAGAUCGAGAUACAAAGAUAGGGGUCCCUGCAAUAUCUUAACAAGUAGAAUGGUUGAGACUGAGUGAUGGAUUGUCUGGGAGUGAAAGGGGAAGGAGGCUGGAGGGUAAUUCCUAGAUCACUGGCUUAUACAUCUGAAUGGCGGAUGGCGUCAUUUGCUGAGAUGAGGGGACACUGGAGGAGGACCAGGUGGAGGUGGAGGAGAUCGUGAAUUCCAUUUGGACAAGUUGAACUUGAUGUCCCUUUAAGACAUCUAAGUAAAGGUGUCCAGAAAGCAGUUGAAUAUAGAGGUCUGGAUCUCAAGAGAGGGCUAGAGAACAGUUUCAGUCUUCUACCAGAUGAGCCUAAGAUUCAGGUGAUUUUGAAGACCAGGUGGCAGGCACGAAUCUUGCAGGCAGACCCCAGUCUUGGACAACUGGUCUCCAUAUCUUUGGUAUUGGGAACAGUUUUUCUUGGCUAUGGGUACUCAUUUAUUUGGGGAAAAAGUAAAGUAAGUAAGUGGUACAGUGAACAACAUUCUGGAAAGAAAGGUCAGGGGUGUGAGUGUAACUUUAAAACAAAUCUCUUUGUCUGCUUUAGGACAUUUCUAAGGAUUUUGCAUAGUGCCUGGUAUAUGCAAUAAAUGUUUGUUGAGUGCCUGCUAUAAAUAUUUUCCCUGGAAUUGUCCCAAUCUAGCAUAGGAAGUAUGAAGUCCCAUUAUUUCCUUAUAGCCCAUUACAAGCCUUUACCCAUUACUACUUCACUGUAACUGGAUGGAGUUAACUCUUUGGGAAAUAAUGACACAAUUCCUAUCAAACUUUGAAGUAGCCACAGCCUGGGGAUCUGUUGCUUUACCAUUGAAAUGCUGCCACCUCCCGGAUAGGGUGUGACAAGUGACCAGCAGCUGUGGACGGCUUCCUGAGAGUGGGAGCCAGAGGGAAGGAAGCCUGCCAGCCCUGUGGCAAUCAAAAGCAGGAACGCAAACCCCUGGCGCGGCUGAGUUCCCAUACAAGGUUUGGUCCAUCCCUGUUUGGACCAAACCAGGUUUGACAAACUGCUGGGAAAUGACGUAAAGCUCUCCUUGACCUUUGUGGAGGGUGGGUCACGGCAUCAAACUGGUAUCAUGUCUUCUUGUGACAGGCUGCUCUUUGAUCAUGAGAUUCCUCAUUUGAUGUGGGCAUUGAGAACCAUUUUCAAGAUUUCUUCUCAGCAAUCUGAGAGGACUGUGCCCUGCUUUGGUUUUAGAGGUUUGGCACUACGACAGUCCAGGGUGGGACUCAGACCUCUAUUCCACGGGAGACCAGAAGUCUUUCUCCCCCCAAGAGGACCUGGCACUGAUGACAGGUUUGAGGGCUCAGCAUGUGAGGGGACAGUGGUUCCCACUGAAUGUAGCUCCACCUUCUUCAUCCUCCAAAUCGAUCUUUUUUUUUUUUAUUUCAAGUCUUCAUAGAAUUUAUUUGUAACA